UACGGAGGGUCCAAGCGUUAUCCGGAAUCAUUGGGUUUAAAGGGUCCGUAGGCGGUUUUGUAAGUCAGUGGUGAAAGCCCAUCGCUCAACGGUGGAACGGCCAUUGAUACUGCAAGACUUGAAUUAUUGGGAAGCAACUAGAAUAUGUAGUGUAGCGGUGAAAUGCUUAGAUAUUACAUGGAAUACCAAUUGCGAAGGCAGGUUGCUACCAAUACAUUGACGCUGAUGGACGAAAGCGUGGGGAGCGAACAGG
rnacentral:rRNA from 1 species